rnacentral:rRNA from 1 species
UGAGGAAUAUUGGUCAAUGGGCGAGAGCCUGAACCAGCCAAGUAGCGUGCAGGAUGACGGCCCUAUGGGUUGUAAACUGCUUUUAUAUGGGAAUAAAGUGAGGGACGUGUCCCUUAUUGCAUGUACCAUAUGAAUAAGGACCGGCUAAUUCCGUGCCAGCAGCCGCGGUAAUACGGAAGGUCCAGGCGUUAUCCGGAUUUAUUGGGUUUAAAGGGAGCGUAGGCUGUUUGGUAAGCGUGUUGUGAAAUGUAGGAGCUCAACUUCUAGAUUGCAGCGCGAACUGUCAGACUUGAGUGCGCACAACGUAGGCGGAAUUCAUGGUGUAGCGGUGAAAUGCUUAGAUAUCAUGAAGAACUCCGAUUGCGAAGGCAGCUUACGGGAGCGCAACUGACGCUGAAGCUCGAAGGUGCGGGUAUCGAACAGG